rnacentral:rRNA from 1 species
GACGAACGCUGGCGGCGUGCUUAAUACAUGCAAGUCGAACGGAAAGGCCCUGCUUUUGUGGGGUGCUCGAGUGGCGAACGGGUGAGUAACACGUGAGUAACCUGCCCUUGACUUUGGGAUAACUUCAGGAAACUGGGGCUAAUACCGGAUAGGAGCUCCUGCUGCAUGGUGGGGGUUGGAAAGUUUCGGCGGUCGGGGAUGGACUCGCGGCUUAUCAGCUUGUUGGUGGGGUAGUGGCUUACCAAGGCUUUGACGGGUAGCCGGCCUGAGAGGGUGACCGGCCACAUUGGGACUGAGAUACGGCCCAGACUCCUACGGGAGGCAGCAGUGGGGAAUAUUGCACAAUGGGCGGAAGCCUGAUGCAGCAACGCCGCGUGCGGGAUGACGGCCUUCGGGUUGUAAACCGCUUUCGCCUGUGACGAAGCGUGAGUGACGGUAAUGGGUAAAGAAGCACCGGCUAACUACGUG